GACGAACGCUGGCGGCGUGCUUAACACAUGCAAGUCGAACGGAAAGGCCUGCUUUCCCUUGUGGAUUGCGGGUACUCGAGUGGCGAACGGGUGAGUAACACGUGAGUGAUCUGCCCCCAACUUGGGUAUAAGCCUGGGAAACUGGGUCUAAUUCCCGAUAGGACUGCAGGGUGGUGCCUGUGGUGGAAAACGAUUUUCUAGUGGUUGGGGAUGAGCUCGCGGCCUAUCAGCUUGUUGGUGGGGUAAUGGCCUACCAAGGCGGCGACGGGUAGCCGGCCUGAGAGGGUGGACGGCCACAUUGGGACUGAGAUACGGCCCAGACGACUACGGGAGGCAGCAGUGGGGAAUAUUGCACAAUGGGCGGAAGCCUGAUGCAGCGACGCCGCGUGGGGGAUGACGGCCUUCGGGUUGUAAACUCCUUUCGACCGCGAGGAAGCCACCUGGUUGGAAGGGUGGUGACGGUAGUGGUAGAAGAAGCACCGGCUAACUACGUG
rnacentral:rRNA from 1 species